rnacentral:lncRNA from 1 species
CAGGAAAAUACUUGGAUUGGUUGGAGAUGAACCCAGUAAGUGCCCUGCAACUACCAGAUAAUUGAAGACUCAGACUUACUGAACAAACUCAUCCUUCACCUGAAGUUGAAGACACAAUCUCCUGAGGAUGUAAGGUCAUGGACAGGCACUGCCAUCCACACCUUGAACACAACUUCACCUCCUCUGCUGCCAAGCAGUAUUGCUGUCUUAGGACUCUCAGAUGCAAAGGAUAUUCCUUGACCUCUUCUUUUAGCACCUGUUAAAAGGUUUCAACUUCUGGGGUGUUCUUUACAUCAACCUGCAAAAUAGACACAGCUUGGAGGGACACCUGCCCUUUUG